rnacentral:tRNA from 1 species
GAGGUGCUAGUAAAAUGUUAUUAUACUGCCUUGUCAAGGCAAAAUUGCGGGUUAGACCCCCGCGUACCUCA